ACUGCAUAAAUAAGGACACAAACAAAACAGAUAUAUUUUAUGUCUUUAUAACCUCUGCCUUUGACACCAGUUAUGUGCUGUGGGAUUCCAGAGCUCUGCAUUGGAGGACUGUAACCAUAGGAAUGAUAAAUUCCCAGAAAACUCCAAACCUGUGCAGGAUUUAUUGCUCCAGCUGGAUGCACAUAAGUCUAUCGGGCCCGAUGGGAUUUAUCGCAAGCUACAGCUGAUUGAACUACUCCAAGAGGAGCCACUCCCAGCUCUUUGUCUGGGUGCAGACUGCUGUGGUCUGUGAACACAAGUGCCAUGGGAUCUUCCCAGGUUUUUCUGGAAGCCUACAGAUUCUGAAUGGAUAAGUUCUGGGCCAGACAACAUUUUGGAAGUGAACUUCCUUUGGUGACCUUUCUUUAAAGUUGCAUGCUCUACCUUCACAUGACCAAAUGUGCAACCAUCAUAUAAUUAAAAGAUGACAACCAUGGAGUCUGAGAAUGCAAGAACAUGUCUUCUACUGCCAAGGACCAGCUGACACCCACAGAGGCACAGAAUGGGAAAUGCUGUGUGCACCAAAAGGGAGGAAGUUUAUAAAAAGAUUUUUGUUUUCAUUCAUACUGUGACCAAAGUAACGUCCCAGUUUAAACAUUAAACUCAAGAUCAUUAACUUGUCACAGUGAUUUCUGGCUUAAAACUUUAUAGUAAAAUAAGAAGGCAUAAAAAGGCUUAUUAAUUGAUAAGAUAAAGCUUGCUAAAAUGUAAUGCUUUCCAUAUUUUGUAAAGAGAAUGAUUUAAAGUUAUAUUAUUGAAACUACAUGAAUUGUUUAAGCCAGUUACUAACUCACAUGUCAUGCCUGAAAUGUAAAACUCUGACAAAAAUGCUGGGUUUCACUUUUGGAUUCCCAAAAAUGUAAAAUAUCAGGGUUUAAGUCUCUCUUUUGCUAAAAAUAAAGACAAUAUACAAAAAUGUAAUCCAUACUUAGGAAAUGUAAAGAAACACAAGCAAAUAAAUAGUGCUCACUGAGUUAAAGACUGAUGUCAGUAGCAAAUGAUUUCCAUAAGAAAAUUGACUGUCUCACACAUAGCUGUUAACUUUAACGCUGUAAAAUAGAUAGAAUUUGAAAUGAAGUGACAAUACUCAUCUCACAUUUAUUAUGUUGUCUUGGGGUUCUAAAGGUAGAGAAAUUAUUUUAUUACAUUUUCAUUUGAAAUCUGAAUGCAUUAUCAUUCCAGAGCUAGAAAAAUUAAUUUUGUAUUUUGAUCAACAAAUAGUUGCUGUUCCUGUGGAGGCUGACCUCUUCUUCUGAUUGUGGUAUUUUUCUUCCUAGAGUAGUACAGAAAGUUUCAAGCAGCUUCAUUUAUUAACAAUGGUAUAUUUCACCCACAUCAUAUAUGAACUAUCCCAUAUGCAAAAGGAAAUGAUUGACAGCAAAAAGUCAAAAUUUACCACAUCUUGUUUUCUUCAGUUUUAAUAACUCAGCUAACGGCUUUUGGUUUUGAAAACUGAUCUUAUCAGCCACUAUCACCGUCCUCAUACUUACCCUUUAUCUUUCACCAUAUUGAAAGUUUUUCUGAGAAAUAUCUGGUUUUCAAAUGAGUCAUUCCCUUUUGCUACUACUGCCUAUAGGACAGCCAUAUCCCAGAACACUGGACAGUCUGUACCUUAACUGUUUGAAACGGAGCUAAUAACUCUCAGCAUGGCUUUGCCUUGAGUAAAAUAGGUCAUUCUGGAUAUUGCCAAUAAAUGAAAGGAUUAUGACAUUUUUUCCGACUGAUCCAUUCUCUUUCAUACUUGUCAUUCAAAAGUAGACAAUGCAUCUACAG
rnacentral:lncRNA from 1 species